UCGAGAAUCUUCGGCAAUGGACGCAAGUCUGACCGAGCGACGCCGCGUGCGGGAUGAAGGCCUUCGGGUUGUAAACCGCUGUCGUAGGGGAGGAAAUUCUGGUGGGUACUCCCAUCAGAUUGACUGAUCCUAGGAGGAAGGACCGGCUAAUCUCGUGCCAGCAGCCGCGGUAAUACGAGAGGUCCAAACGUUAUUCGGAAUCACUGGGCUUACAGAGUUCGUAGGCGGUCCAGAAAGUGGGGUGUGAAAGCCCUCGGCUCAACCGAGGAACUGCGCUCCAAACUACUGGGCUAGAGGAAGAUAGAGGUGAGCAGAACUGAUGGUGGAGCGGUGAAAUGCGUUGAUAUCAUCAGGAAUACCGGAGGCGAAGGCGGCUCACUGGGUCUUUUCUGACGCUGAGGAACGAAAGCUAGGGGAGCAAACGGGAUUAGAUACCCCCGUAGUCC
rnacentral:rRNA from 1 species